rnacentral:rRNA from 1 species
GGCGAACGGGUGAGUAACACGUGGGUAAUCUGCCCUCGAUUCUGGGAUAGCCCGGGGAAACCCGGAUUAAUACCGGAUAGCCUCUCGAGCUUACGAGCUCAUGAGGAAAGGUAGCUUCGGCCUCCGAUCGAGGAUGAGCCCGCGGCGGAUUAGCUUGUUGGUGGGGUAAUGGCCUACCAAGGCGACGAUCCGUAGCUGGUCUGAGAGGACGAUCAGCCACACUGGGACUGAGACACGGCCCAGACUCCUACGGGAGGCAGCAGUGGGGAAUCUUGCGCAAUGGGCGAAAGCCUGACGCAGCGACGCCGGGUGGGGGAAGAAGGCCUUCGGGUUGUAAACCUCUUUCAGCAGGGACGAAGCCACUCGGGUGAAUAGCCCAGAGGGUGACGGUACCUGCAGAAGAAGCCCCGGCUAACUACGUGCCAGCAGCCGCGGUAAUACGUAGGGGGCAAGCGUUGUCCGGAUUUAUUGGGCGUAAAGAGCGUGUAGGCGGCCAGACAGGUCCGUUGUGAAAACUAGAGGCUUAACCUCUAGACGUCGAUGGAAACCGUCUGGCUAGAGUCCGGAAGAGGAGAAUGGAAUUCCUGGUGUAGCGGUGAAAUGCGCAGAUAUCAGGAAGAACACCCGUGGCUAAGGCGGUU